rnacentral:rRNA from 1 species
UACGUAGGGUGCAGGCGUUUAAUCGGAAUUACUGGGCGUAAAGCGUGCGCAGGCGGUUCGCCGUGUCCGAUGUGAAAGCCCCGGGCUUAACCUGGGAAUGGCAUUGGAAACUGGCGGGCUGGAGUGUGGCAGAGGGGGGUGGAAUUCCACGUGUAGCAGUGAAAUGCGUAGAGAUGUGGAGGAACACCGAUGGCGAAGGCAGCCCCCUGGGCCAACACUGACGCUCAGGCACGAAAGCGUGGGGAGCAAACAGG